UGCGAGCGUUACUAAGAUCAAAGUGCAAAAAAUAAAUCCUCUUUUGCAACCCAGAACUCAUGGCUCAGUAUGAGUUUUGAUACAGAUAAGAAGGAACAAG